rnacentral:rRNA from 1 species
AUUGAACGCUGGCGGCAGGCCUAACACAUGCAAGUCGAGCGGUAGAGAGGUGCUUGCAUCUCUUGAGAGCGGCGGACGGGUGAGUAAUGCCUAGGAAUCUGCCUAGUGGUGGGGGAUAACGUUCGGAAACGGACGCUAAUACCGCAUACGUCCUACGGGAGAAAGCGGGGGGAUCUUCGGACCUCGCGCCAUUAGAUGAGCCUAGGUCGGAUUAGCUAGUUGGUGAGGUAAUGGCUCACCAAGGCGACGAUCCGUAACUGGUCUGAGAGGAUGAUCAGUCACACUGGAACUGAGACACGGUCCAGACUCCUACGGGAGCAGCAGUGGGAAUAUUGGACAAU